GAUGGAGGAAAACGUGAUGGCAGUGGCACGGUCCGUCUUAUUUGAAAAAUUUUGAAAAAAAUUAAAAACAAAAGUCACGAGUAAAUUACUAUUCAUAUUUUAUCAUCUCAUAACAACAAAAAUACUAAUUAUAAAAAAUUUACAAAUAAGACGGACGAUCAAAGUUAGGCGUGGAAACUCAUGGUUGCACUUAUA
rfam:Oryza sativa Japonica Group DNA, chromosome 6, cultivar: Nipponbare, complete sequence.